rnacentral:rRNA from 1 species
AGACGUCUACAUUAGAUACCCGUGUAGUCCCAGCCGUAAACUAUGCGCGUUAGGUGUAUCGGUGACCACGAGUCACCGAGGUGCCGAAGGGAAACCGUGAAACGUGCCGCCUGGGAAGUACGGUCGCAAGGCUGAAACUCAAAGGAAUUGGCGGGGAGCACCACAACGGGUGGAGCCUGCGGUUUAAUUGGACUCAACGCCGGGAAGCUCACCGGAUAAGACAGCGGAAUGAUUGCCGGGCUGAAGACUCUGCAUGACUAGCUG